GGUAUAGUCACACAGUAACAGAGGGAUUGAGGGCCCUGCUCAGUGAGUUUACAUGUUAGAGGGAGUGGGGUAUAGUGACACAGUAACAGAGGGAUUGAGGGCCUGCUCAGUGAGCUUACAUAUUAGAGGGAGUGGGGUAUAGUGACACAGUAACAGAGGCAUUGAGGGCCUGCUCAGUGAGUUUACAUGUUAGAGGGAGUGGGGUAUAGUGACUGUAACAGAGGGAUUGAGG